GUCGAGGAGCAAACUUCCACACAUGGGUGCCCGCUCCACCAGGAUUCGGGUCAAGGCAGAGGGUCGUCUUGAACUUCAUGAGCCACACCCGGGCCUGGUGUGGUUGGACAUAAAAUCUCAUCACCUUUCCAAAGAGUGUUCGCUCUUCCCUCACCACAGCUGUCAUUUUGGUUUUGCUUGGUACAGACGUUUCCACACACCUAUAAUAUGACUGACUACUGACAUACAUGUUUCUGUUUUUUAGUGUGGAUCCUGUAAAUAAAUGCCUAUCUUACGCUAA